UUACGGCCAUAGCAUGUUGAAACACCGGUUCUCGUUCGAUAACCCAAGUUAAGCAACGUUGAGCUUGGUCAGAACCUAGAUUGGUGACUGCUUUGGAAUACCAAGUGCUGUAG